CAAGCCUGUGGGUAAAUCCAGGGCAGAGCCCAGCUGCUGCGGGGAGGGCAGGGGCUGCAGCUGGCUCCAGCUGCCGUGCCUUGGCCGGGGACAAAUUUCCCCGGGGAUGAGGAGCGCCGAGGGAGGGAAGGGGAGGAAGCGGGCUGGGGGAAGGUCAGUGCAAAUCCCCACGUUACCCGAGGCGGCUUUAACCCUUCGGGCGAACGGUGCCUCAUGGCCGAGCUCAGGGGUCCGAGCUGUCUGGGGAUGGGACGUUCGCUUAGACCUAUGCUAAAGGCUGUGAAGGCAGCAGAAGACUUUCAGAGUGACCUCUCUUUGGAAAGUGCUUAAUGCAGCUUGAGUGGCUUGUGUGUGUAGGAUUUUGCUGUUUUAUUCCCUGGAUUUGGAGGCUGCAGAGUUAUUUUAGGGGGAGAGAGAGAGAUGGGUGUGAAAUUGGCCUGCCUGCUCUGGUGGUGGUUGUGGUCUGGGUUGCUGUCUCUGCACUUACAAAGAGCUCUCUGAAAUGCAUGUUUGGUCACCAGCUCUGUUUCUCCCUCUGUCAGGAUGAAUGAGCAACUGGGACGUGGUGGAGCUACCUGCAGAGUAGCAGUAGAAGUAUGGGAGCCUAACUUUAAAGACAGGAAAGAGAGAAAUCUUGUUGCACUACCUUAAAAUCUGCAUGCAUAAUUUUUUAAACUUUUGGUUCAAGCCUGUAACCCCUUCCUUGGCAUCUCCUUUUUGCCCAUCCUACUGCUAGCUAGUGUAACCAGCAGCUUUUGAAAGCAGCUGUCUUUUUAUGACAUAGAAAACUCCUUUGUUCUACUGCCCAAUUUCAAGUCUCUGACAGCCUUAGGUAGUGUUGAUAAUGUUGUAAAUAGAGGUACUUUGAGUGCUUUGCAAAAGCAAAUGUGUUACUUGCCUCAUUGACCUGUUUUGAAGUUUUAAUAUGAUCCCAACUUUUAUAAAGAGUGGGAGGGGGAUUGGACAUGAAAAUAUGCACAGAAAUGACACAGGAAGAUAAUACAUCUGAGUAGAGUACAGUAAUUACUAAUUUAACACGUGCCCACUUAACAUGUUUUUUGCAAUAGCUCAAUUUUUUUUAGGUGAACGUUUUUUGAAUAACACAACUGUCCUUGAAAUAACCUGAAAAUAAUCAAGUGGCGGACUACUUCAUGCGGUGGUAUAAAUUGGUGAAAACAGUGGUAAUACACAUGAGCGGAUGAAUACACAUGGUCACAGCGCUCCUCCGGUCACUCACAUGUUUAUCUUUGUGUUUUAACAAACCGUGGCGACUUGUGUUGCUAGAUAUUUUGUGUUGCUAGACAUCUAAUGCUGACGUUAAUGACUGAAAAUCAACAAAAAUUGAAUUUGCACCCUCAUCUUUUCCAUUAUUUUUAAUGGGAAAAUUGACCCUGCAUAGCACAUUUUCGCUUAGCACGAACAUUUUCAGAAAUGCAUCUUUAGUGUUAAAUGAGGAAUGACUGUACCCCUAACCACUUCUAUGUGCUUCCUCCCAAUACAAACCUGGCAAAAGCUAGUUUUAUUAGAUGUAAGACAAUUCCCCUUCCAAGUAAUUUUGUAUAGUAAAUCAUCUGCUUUUAAUGUAAAUCUUCUUUGGUAAGAGAUGGUGUUCCCCCUUUGUAGACUUGGAAAUAUCCACUGCCAGACUCCCAAAUGCUAUCCUUUUCCAAGUCACACCUGCCUAUUUUGUACGGUAUUGGGAACGCAGUUUUUGUACAAGGCAGUGGUGAUGGAUGUGAUCAUCAGAGGAUAGUGUGAAUAUACAUUGUAAAUAAAAUUUUCUUAAGUUCAUGAAUAUGAUUCUUGUUCAAAAACAAAUUCUUACUGAGCACACGGAUCCAGCAUUCUCAUCCAAGAGCUGUUCUAAGGUAUUUCUGUAGCUCAGUUUGUAGCUGUCAGCCAGCUAGUGUAAAAGGAGUGUAUGUUAUGGGAUAAUGUCAAGGGAAUAGCGAGUCAAUAAAAUACUGUCCAACAUUAUGAAAGUUGGUCAGAUGUAAAAAAGGACUGGCAGCUAUAAUGUGGAGACCAUAUCCCACCAUAAAAGAUCUGAUUGAUACAUGGAGGGUCUCUUGGGACACUACUAAAUUAUACUUUAUUUGUGGUGCAUAUGACUAAGGAUGGUCAUCCAAUAACUAAAACAACGAGUCCUGUGGCACCUUUAAGACUAACAUUUAUUUGGGCAUAAGUUUUCCUGGGCAAAGAUCCACUUCGUCAGAUGCAUUUAGCUGUUGAUUCUGGGCUGGUUUAUGAUAGUGGUUAAAGGUUAAACAAAAUACUGAAAUCAGACUAAAGAGAAAACUACUAACUACUAACCGAUUUCCGUUCCUCAUUCCAAAGACACUCUUUAUGCAGCGUGUCUAGCAGGAAUUGUUAUUCCGUAGCCCAAAGCAUUUUAUCAUGAAGAACAGCUACUGUGUGCACUUGGAGUUCUGGUCUAAAAUUCUGAACGUUGACCACUUGGAGCACAAAACAGAAUGCUACUUGUUCCCUGGGGAAAUGUUUUAACAAACUUGUACAGCACAAAAAGAACAAUGCAAUAAGACAGCUUUAAUGUCAUCCCAACUAUGUAGACUGGCUUCUGGGCAAUCUUAAAGGUCUUUCCUUUCACUGUGUGUGCUGCUUGGAUUUCCAGUAAUCCACUUGUUUGGAGCAGAGAUUGAUGUGCUUCCAUUACUCUUUGUUAAACUUAAACUUGUGUUUCUUCAGCGUGCAAUGGUAUUGCAACGUUUUUGGUGGUGGAUGCUGUCUUCUAUCACUGCAGCUCUGAAGGUCUCAUUCUCGUUUUCCCUGCUCUGCCUCCCACCCUCUACCCUCUUUUGAAGAGCACUAAAUAGCAGAAUUCAUUAUUUGGUUAUAAUCUAAUUGCAUUUAAGUUGUGUCCCUUGAAUGGAAAUUUUGUUUUGCUUCUGUGCUGUUGUUUCUUGUUCUCUUUGUUUGCACUAUAUGGAUUAUUUUUUUCUGAAAGUUGUGGUUGAACAUUGCCUGGCUGCUGAGAUGCUGAUAGUCAUGGGUCAAGAAUGCUGUGGGACCAUGCUAGAAGGAAAGCUUGUCAUGCUACAUCAGUUCUCCUGUGGAGUACCCCUGCCACGUUCUGAACCUUUCCUGAACUGAAGUAGACAGUUUGUCAAAUUGUUGUUGGCUUUUUGCAGAGUCUGCACUCACAAAGAACUCUGUGAUGUGGAAUUUUUCCACUGGGGAUUCAGAUGAGACCACAACUCAUUUUUCAUGUUGAAAGUAACAAGAGUUGAACCCAGAUCUAGAAAUAAAAGAACUAUUUCUCAGGAAAGGAACUUCGACUUCCCAUCUGUUUCCAGUCCCUCGUGUAUGGGAGUGACUCAUCACAGUUGAAUCCCCCAAAUUGGUUAGUCUUAUAGCAAGCCGGAGUGUAGGCUGCGUCGCGGUUGGUUCUCGAGCUGACAUGGUGGAGGAUCACUGUGGGCUCCACGGAGUGUUACAUUGUGCAUGAAAUCUACAAUGGGGAGAAUGCUCAGGACCAGUUUGAGUAUGAGCUGGAGCAGGCUCUGGAAGCACAGUACAAAUACAUAGUGAUAGAACCC